rnacentral:lncRNA from 1 species
GUGCAGAGCUGGCCCUAACCUAGUCUCUCUGGGAACCCAGGCUGUUUCACAAACCGGGCUCCCAGGAGCCUGCCCUGGGGAGGCAGCGGCAUCUGCUGAGGCCCCACGUGGGCUCCAGAAGGCAAAGGUCUGGUGGAGACCACCAGGUUUCUCUGUGUGGAGUGUGGAGGGGCCUCAGGACCCAGUCGGCCCCCCACAUCCAAGGCAGGGAGCACUGAUGAGCUGGGAUGGGGGGAUUCCAGGAUGGAGGCCAGGGGACUCGACCGCCUGGUUCUGUUCUGUCCCGCGGUCAACAGACGCGUGCUCUGCAUUUCCCUGGAGCAGAGCAGGCGGCCCAGGCUGGAACCCUGGCUGGAGGUGGCCAGCCAGUGAGGCUGCCUAUAUACCCCCAGCAGGCCAAAGAGCAGAGGGUCGGUUGGUCCAUGCCAGCCUCCAGCCCUGCCCUGCCGUGGAGGCCCUGGCCUCAGAAACAAGCCUGGGCACGUGGAGCGUAAGUAUACAGCGUGGACUCUGCAGACAGGGCGGUGGCACCAGCACAGCUGGAGCCCAGCCAAGCCCACCCCUCCAGGCUGCACCUGUGCCCAGGACCCAGGGUCUGCCGGUCUGUCACUGUGUAACCACCCGCUCUCAGUGCCAGCCAUGGGCCAGCUUCUGUGGGUGGAGAGCAUGGCCACCCAGCAGCUGCACCCUGCAGCCAGGGUCCAGCCAGGGCUGUGGCCUCAUCACAAAGGCUUGCCUGGAGAAGACGCACUGCCCAGCCUACGUGAUUAUCACAGGACUCGGGGUCUUGGUUUCUCGCUGGUUAUCAGCCCGGGUGCCUCAGGACCUUGCCAGGGCCACUUGCUUCCUCAAGCCAAGGGGAGAGAGGCUGCAGAAGAUGCAAUUGCAACCUGUGUGUGUGUGUGCGUGCGUGUGUGUGUGUGUCUGUGUGUGCGUUACUGGGGAUUGACCCAGGGGUGCUCCGCCACUAAGCCAUACCCCUCCUUGGUUUUUAUUUGAGGUAAGGUUUCCAUAUGUUGCUCAGGCUGGACUCGA